CAUUAGAUGGCUGAAAGCAAGCAAUGGUCUCUUAAACCUUCAAAUAGUAAACUCGCACUUACUUCUAAUGG
rnacentral:tRNA from 1 species